GUCCAUGGUGAUUCCCUCUCCAAAGGACUGAUUGUGUGCCCUUUUCAGAAACGUAGCAACUUGGAAGACAGCCAGGCAUGCCCAAAGUCUCUGGUGAACAAGGAAUUCUUGUUUCCUUUGGCUGCCUACAUAU
rnacentral:snoRNA from 7 species